rnacentral:lncRNA from 8 species
UCAACAAUCCUGCUGCACAUUCUUACUGCUUUUAAACUUAGGCUGUCCAUCACAAUGUGUGUGCGUGUGUCGUGUGUGUGUGUGUGUGUGUGUGUGUGUGUGUGUGUGUGUGUGUGUGUGUGUGUGUGUGUGUGUGUGCGUGUGCGUGUGUGUGUGUCUGGCACUCAAGGUAUGAGCAAACUUGUAAAGCUGAACCUCGACAAGACGGAGCUGCUCUUCCUCCCGGGGAAGGACUGCCCGUUCCAUGAUCUCGCCAUCACGGUUGACAACUCCCUUGUGUCCUCCUCCCAGAGUGCUAAGAGCCUUGGCGUGACCCUGGACAACACCCUGUCGUUCUCCACCAACAUCAAGGCGGUGACCCGAUCCUGUAGGUUCAUGCUCUACAACAUUCGCAGAGUACGACCCUGCCUCACACAGGAAGCGGCGCAGGUCCUAAUCCAGGCACUUGUCAUCUCCCGUCUGGAUUAUUGCAACUCGCUGUUGGCUGGGCUCCCUGCCUGUGCCAUUAAACCCCUACAACUCAUCCAGAACGCCGCAGCCCGUCUGGUGUUCAACCUUCCCAAGUUCUCUCACGUCACCCAGCUCCUCCGCUCUCUCCACUGGCUUCCAGUCGAAGCUCGCAUCCGCUACAAGACCAUGGUGCUUGCCUACGGAGCUGUGAGGGGAACGGCACCUCCGUACCUUCAGGCUCUGAUCAGGCCCUACACCCAAACAAGGGCACUCCGUUCAUCCACCUCUGGCCUGCUCGCCUCCCUACCUCUGAGGAAGCACAGUUCCCGCUCAGCCCAGUCAAAACUGUUCGCUGCUCUGGCACCCCAAUGGUGGAACAAGCUCCCUCACGACGCCAGGACAGCGGAGUCAAUUACCACCUUCCGGAGACACCUGAAACCCCACCUCUUCAAGGAAUACCUGGGAUAGGAUAAAGUAAUCCUUCUAACCCCCCCCUUAAAAGAUUUAGAUGCACUAUUGUAAAGUGGUUGUUCCACUGGAUAUUAUAAGGUGAAUGCACCAAUUUGUAAGUCGCUCUGGAUAAGAGCGUCUGCUAAAUGACUAAAAUGUUAAAAAAAAAAUUACAAA